rnacentral:rRNA from 1 species
GGCUCAAGAACGAACGCUGGCGGCAGGCUUAACACAUGCAAGUCGAACGGUUGUAGCAAUACAGCAGUGGCGCACGGGUGAGUAACGCGUGGAUAUCUGCCUUUUGGUUCGGAAUAACUCCGGGAAACUGGAGCUAAUACCGGAUGGUUCCUACGGGAUAAAGAUUUAUCGCCAAAAGAUGAGUCCGCGUACGAUUAGCUAGUUGGUGAGGUAAUGGCUCACCAAGGCGACGAUCGUUAGCUGGUCUGAGAGGACGAUCAGCCACACUGGGACUGAGACACGGCCCAGACUCCUACGGGAGGCAGCAGUGGGGAAUAUUGGACAAUGGGGGCAACCCUGAUCCGGCCAUGCCGCGUGAGUGAUGAAGGCCUUCGGGUUGUAAAGCUCUUUUGGCGGGGACGAUGAUGACGGUACCCGCAGAAUAAGCCCCGGCUAACUUCGUG